UUUAUCCCCCCCUUUCCCUUCUAAAAAAAACUUUCACAAUUUUUUUCUGUGAUAAUGCAUUUAUCAGACAAAAUUGAUAAAGAAUGAAUUCAUUUUCUUUUCAUUUUAAAUCUUUUGGGCUUGGCUUACUUCUUGAGUAAAAUUAAAAUAAUUCCGUAUUUGUCUCCGGGCCGGUUUUGUCUUUUAUCGGAUGAAAAUGUACGUCAUUUUUGACGUCACUGCUGCAGCAGACGUGCUGGGUGUAUUGGAAAGAUGCAUGCAGUAACUUGAGAUCAGUGUCACAUUGCUGCGUCUAAAAAGCCCAAAGCUGAUCAGACUGGCGAUUGAUCCUAAAGCUGAUUUGACAGAAGAUUGCAUCUUCACAAUAUUAAAGGUUCAAUAUACAGUCAGCGUCUCAUAAGAAUAAAUCCCAAGAUCCAAGACUUGCUUAAAAACUUAAUUAAGAGACCAUUCUGUGCCACAAAGAAAUUGUUCAGGAAAGGGAGAAAUGGUGGAUUUGCAUUUUGGGUACAGUUCAAAGAGAGUUCAAAAUGGUCAAGCUCAUGGAAGAUCAGAGGGAGGACAACUGAAGAAAACUGAAAGAUACAGAAGGAAAAAGAAAAAGAAAAUAUAUGAAAUAAUUAUGAAGUUGGGAGGAUGUACACAAUCUUGUCUGCAUUUGACCUGUAAAGAUUUAAUUCCCAUUCUUAUUUUUAUGCUGUAAUAUCAAAUAACUUGAUUUUUCAUAAAUUUACAAUAGAGAAUACAUGACAAAUAUUAUAUGUGAUAUUUCAAUUUUGCUUUGGACAC